CCUGCUUUUAGGGAAUUUGAAGCAAGUAUUCAUCCACAAUUAUGGCACACAUUGAUGGGUCAUGGGUGGUAAUACAAUCCUGACUGUGCAGAGGCCCUCUUUCCAGAUUAGACGGCAGCAUCUGUAUUCUGGGCAGAAGAAAAUAGGAGUAGUACAGUAAGUACUACAAAGACAACAGCUGUAUUACACACAUAGGUUCGAAAGCAAAAAACCUGAUCAUCAAAUAUUUUUAUCUAGGUACACUAGAUUAUUUCUGAAAGUCUUUGGUGGUUUCCAGUGAUAGCACUCAGCAGGAUGUUGGCAGCAUCCACCAGAACUUUUCCCAAGAUGACUAAUAACAAACCUCUCAUGGUUGGAGGACUCUGAAGUCUAAACUACAUCUCUGCUUUACAACACGGCUAACUAAAUGAACCAAAAGUAGCCAGAAGCCUAUAUUUCUGCUUUACAAUACAAAAACGAUGCAACUCACUAGAUCAAAGUGAAUAUAUCUUUUUCUUCCCGAACACUAACCUAGGUUAAACUGUGGAAAAUUGGACACAGUCCUAGACUUCAGAUAUGAAUUGAACACUCUUCUUUUAUUCACCCGUGGUAUUCCUCUAUG